AGCACUACAAGCAGUUAAUCAGUGAAGCUGAAUAUAGCAUUGGUCAUCCCAGCUCAGCUGCUACAGUUCUGCGGUUGGUGAAAUAAAAUAGACAUACACGGAGUUUGCAAAUGCGUUGGAAUGUUUCUAGAUGAAAUAUUGCUCACCCGUACCAGCAACUGGAUCACCUCCCUUCACUCACAAUUACACAUCAUCUCAACAAUCACAUGACCUGUGCUGCUUGUGGAGAAUUGGAGAGGUCUAUUGUUGGAGUUGAUUGUUGAUUUCUCCAUAAGAAAUGGCAAGAUCCUGGCUUCCGUCAAAGAAACAAUUGUUAGACCCUUUUUCCUGGAGUCACCUGUUGACCCAGACUGUCUCUCGAAAA